GAUGAACGCUGGCUGCGUGCCUAAUACAUGCAAGUCGAGCGAACAGACGAGGAGCUUGCUCCUCUGACGUUAGCGGCGGACGGGCGAGUAACACGCGGAUAACCUACCUACACUACUCGGAUAACUUCGGGAAACCGGGUCUAAUACCGGACAAUAUAUUUAACCGCAUGGCUCAAUAGUGAAACACGGUUUUGCUCUCACUUAUAGAUGGAUCCGGGCCGCAUUAGCUAGUUGGUAAGGUAACGGCUUACCAAGGCCACGAUGCGUAGCCGACCUGAGAGGGUGGUAAGCCACACGAGAACGGAGACGAGGUACGGACGCCUACGGGAGGCGACAGUGGGGAGACUUACGCAAUGGGAGGGAGCCAGGCGGGACAACGCCACGUGAGGGAUAGGGUGCCGCGGAUCGUAAAAGUCUGUUAUUAGGGAGGGACGAAUGUGUAAGUAACGAGGCAGGUCUUGAAGGUACCGAAUCAGAAAGGCACGGCUAACUACGUG
rnacentral:rRNA from 1 species